rfam:Schistosoma rodhaini strain Burundi genome assembly, scaffold: SROB_scaffold0000675
AUUCAGCUGACGAGUCCCAAAUAGAAAGAAACGCACGUACUGGAU